rnacentral:rRNA from 1 species
GAUGAACGCUGGCGGCGUGCCUAAUACAUGCAAGUCGAGCGAACAGACGAGGAGCUUGCUCCUCUGACGUUAGCGGCGGACGGGUGAGUAACACGUGGAUAACCUACCUAUAAGACUGGGAUAACUUCGGGAAACCGGAGCUAAUACCGGACAAUAUAUUGAACCGCAUGGUUCAAUAGUGAAAGACGGUUUUGCUGUCACUUAUAGAUGGAUCCGCGUCGCAUUAGCUGGUUGGUAAGGUAACGGCUUACCAAGGCGACGAUGCGUAGCCGACCUGUGCGGGUGAUCGGCCACACUGGGACUGAGACACGGUCCAGACUCCUACGGGAGGCAGCGAUAGGGAAUCUUCCGCAAUGGGCGGAAGCCUGACGGAGCAGCGCCGCGUGAGUGAUGAAGGUCUUCGGAUCGUAAAACUCUGUUAGUAGGGAAGAACGAAUGUGUAAGUAACUAUGCACGUCUUGACGGUACCUAAUCAGGAAGCCACGGCUAACUACGUG